rnacentral:rRNA from 1 species
GACGUAGGGGGCCAGCGUUGUUCGGAAUUACUGGGCGUAAAGGGUUCGUAGGCGGCGUAGCAAGUCGGGAGUGAAAUCUCUGGGCUUAACCCAGAGGCUGCUUCCGAAACUGCUGUGCUUGAGUGUGGGAGAGGCGCGUGGAAUUGCAGGUGUAGCGGUGAAAUGCGUAGAUAUCUGCAGGAACACCCGUGGCGAAAGCGGCGCGCUGGACCACUACUGACGCUGAGGAACGAAAGCUAGGGGAGCAAACAGG